GACGAACGCUGGCGGCGCGCCUAACACAUGCAAGUCGAACGGGGUCUUUUUGGAGCUUGCUUUGGGAAGACCUAGUGGCGGACGGGUGAGUAACACGUGAGCAACCUGCCGAGGAGUGGGGGAUAACGUCUGGAAACGGACGCUAAUACCGCAUAAUAUCCAGAAGUGGCAUCACUUUUGGAUCAAAGGAGCAAUCCGCUCUUCGAUGGGCUCGCGCCCGAUUAGAUAGUUGGUGAGGUAAUGGCUCACCAAGUCGACGAUCGGUAGCCGGACUGAGAGGUUGAACGGCCACAUUGGGACUGAGACACGGCCCAGACUCCUACGGGAGGCAGCAGUGGGGAAUAUUGGGCAAUGGGCGAAAGCCUGACCCAGCGACGCCGCGUGGAGGAAGAAGGUUUUCGGAUUGUAAACUCCUGUCUUCGGGGAAGAUAAUGACGGUACCCGAGGAGGAAGCCACGGCUAACUACGUGCCAGCCGCCGCCGUAAC
rnacentral:rRNA from 1 species